rnacentral:rRNA from 1 species
UACAUGUGGGGCAAGCGUUGUUCGGAAUUACUGGGCUUAAAGGGUGCGUAGGCGGCGCGGUAAGUCGGGUGUGAAAUCUUGGAGCUUAACUCCGAAACUGCAUUCGAUACUGCCGUGCUUGAGGACUGGAGAGGAGACUGGAAUUUACGGUGUAGCGGUGAAAUGCGUAGAUAUCGUAAGGAAGACCAGUGGCGAAGGCGGGUCUCUGGACAGUUCCUGACGCUGAGGCACGAAGGCCAGGGGAGCAAACGGG